CACAGCGAUAAAGGCAGCGUGAGAGAGGUAGAGUGAGAGAGGCAGAGUGAGAGAGGCAGAGUGAGAGAGGUAGAGUGAGAGAGGUAGAGUGAGAGAGGCAGAGUGAGAGAGGCAGAGUGAGAGAGGCAGAGUGAGAGAGGCAGAGUGAGAGAGGCAGAGUGAGAGAGGCAGCGUUUUCGGGGGCGUACCUGGACGAUAGCGGGGUCCUG